UCUGUCUCUCUUUGUGGUUGUUCUGUGUCUCUCCAGCUCAUACUGAGGUUCUGGUCCAGGGGCCCGGGGCCCGGGGCCCGUACAGAAGUCAGUCUGUGAAAAGGUGAAUACAACAGGUGGAUAGAAACAACAAGACUAAACAACAAGCUGAUCUCAGAAUCUGUCUUUCCGUAUCGCUGAAUAUAUUUUCAUCACUGACACAAAUCAAAGUCCACGUCGGCUCUGAGACCAAGAACCAGACCAGAACCCAACAGAGGUCAGAGGUCAGAACACGAAGCAAGACACAAGUGAGACAAAAGCAAACAGGAAGUGAAGGCAGCGCGACUGUUCAUGAUGUAGAUUCCUCAAAAUGAAAUAUUCAUACAUUAUUCAACAUCUGGAUGAAACCACGAGGCUCAGCAGAAACAGUGAACACACACUGACUGAAGAUCCGGUCGCCUCCCUCUGCUUCGACCUCCAGUAACCUCCACACUGAUCCUCAGGUUCUGCUCCUCUCUCUGCUCCUGAGACCCGGCUGAGACCUGAAGGGGACUGAGGGUCAGGAGGGACCAGGUGGACGGGACCAGGUGGACGGGACCAGGUGGACGGACCCACAGAGACUUUCCUGAUUUCACUUGAAUGUUCAUUUCUUCUUUGUUUUUAUCUUUAAAGACGUUUUUUCUUCUUGUUUCACACUGAACUGGUUUUUCUACCUGUUUCUAACUAUUGUCUUUAAUAUCGGAGGAUUUUAUGACGUAUUAUCAUCAGUAUUAUCAUAUUAUUAAUGUUCAUGAAUAAAAACAGACAGCAGAUGUUGUUCCACCUUCGCAGCCUUCACAUAUAAACAACCAGCUCAACCCGUCCUCAAUGAAAUCAUCU